UACAGAGGUCUCAAGCGUUGUUCGGAUUCAUUGGGCGUAAAGGGUGCGUAGGCGGCGCGGUAAGUCGGGUGUGAAAUCUCGGAGCUUAACUCCGAAACUGCAUUCGAUACUGCCGUGCUUGAGGACUGGAGAGGAGACUGGAAUUUACGGUGUAGCGGUGAAAUGCGUAGAUAUCUGGAGGAAUACCGGUGGCGAAGGCGGCAUCCUGGACCGGCAUUGACGCUGAGGAGCGAAAGCUAGGGGAGCAAACGGGGAUUAAGAAACCCC
rnacentral:rRNA from 1 species